rnacentral:lncRNA from 1 species
AAGACUGUGAGCACCUCUCACUUCUCCCCGUUAGCUCAGCCCCUGAAAUACAUCCCUCCCUGGAGUUCAGGAUCCCAUCUUUCCCUUCCUGAGGUCCCCUUUCUGCUGACCUGUUUCCUUGUUUCACUGCAAUAGAGGAGUCAGAGGGGAGGGCCUCAUUUCCUUGGAGCUGUUGUUUUGUGUCCCUUUCUGUGACAUAAUCUACCUCAGAUGGUUGGUCUCUCUUCCCCAUCAGAACUGUGUCCCCUGGGUCCUCUGUACCCCAUUCUCUAACCUUCACCCUGUCCUGGAUGUGCAGUCCUUCCCAGGACCCCUCCAGAGUCCUUGAAAUGAGAGAAGUUUCCAGAAACACAGCUCAAGGGGGCUUUGGGGUCCCCUAAAUCAACCACCCUCUAAUCCCAUUAUACAGGAGAAGUUGAGCCCCAGAAAGGGCCAGGCACUUGCUCAAGAUCGCACAGGAAGUCAGUGCAGUGGGAGUUAGUUGGGUCCACCUUAAUUUUGCCAGGAACAGAGGAGAGCAGAACACUGGGUACCAAAGUACUGGGCAGUCGCCAACCCCAGGAAACCCUGUUCCUGAGGCAGACCUCUGUUUCUCUCUUUUCUUGACCUCCCACUUUAAACUGACCCCACAAGCUGAUGACUGCUCCCCAAACCUCUCCAGGUACCAGACACCCCAAGUCGCACCUCCAUGCACUGAUGUGCCUUGUAAUGGUCACCCCAGCUGAACAACACAGGCCACCACCCUCCCCCACAGGGGGCUCCCCAACAAGGGAGUACUCUUUGGUCCCCUCUUCUCAUCUGCCCCAUUCCUAUGUCUCCCCGCAGUCCGUCUUCCCCUCAGCCAGCUCUCUGCAGUCUGUAUCUCCUGGAGGUGUGUCACCCACAAGGGCGGGGACAGCAGAGGGCUGGGAGGCCAAGGCCCCAGGAGUGUCCAGGUCUCUAGAUCAGGACCAAGUAGGGUCUGCAAAUGUUCAGGGAAAGUCUUGCCUGGCAGUUGCAAAGCCCCCAGGAGACUGAAAUUCUGCAGGUGCUAAACCAUAGGGACCUCCCCAGACUCCCCGCCCCCUGCUGCAAAUGGGAUAGUGUGUGUGCCCUGCUGGAAGGCAUGAAAGUUCCAGGUUUUGAAAGACCUCAUGCUGGUCAAACUGAACACUGUACCAAGCCCCUGGGGCUACCAGUUUGAGAGCUCUGAUUCAAAGUGUUGGUGGGGGUGCGGGGCUUGGGGACUUAGCUUAGUGGCAGAGCGCUUG